rfam:Haemonchus contortus, ISE/inbred ISE, WGS project CAVP01000000 data, contig: Hcontortus_40769
GUCUUGGUAGUAUAGGGGAUAGAACACGGUGCCCGUAAAGCACACGUAUGGGUUCGAGUCCCGUCCGAGACU